rnacentral:rRNA from 1 species
UACAGAGGGUGCAAGCGUUGUUCGGAAUUAUUGGGCGUAAAGCGCGUGUAGGCGGCAUUGCAAGUCGGGUGUGAAAGCCCUCAGCUCAACUGAGGAAGUGCGCCCGAAACUGCAGUGCUUGAAUACCGGAGAGGAGUGGCGGAAUUCCCAAGUAGAGGUGAAAUUCGUGAGAUAUGGGGAGGAACACCGGUGGCGAAGGCGAGCCAUCUGGACCGACGACUGACGCUGAGGCGGCGGAAAAG